rnacentral:rRNA from 1 species
CAACGUAGGUAAUCUACCUUCGGGUGGGGAAUAACCCAGGGAAACUUGGGCUAACACCGCAUAAUGCAGCGGCACCACAUGGUGACAGUUGUUAAAGCGGGGGAUUUUAGGACCUCGCGCCUGAAGAGGAGCCUGCGGCAGAUUAGCUUGUUGGUAAGGUAACGGCUUACCAAGGCGACGAUCUGUAGCCGGCCUGAGAGGGCGGUCGGCCACACUGACACUGACAUACGGGUCAG